GGAAAUGAUGGGGUAUGACCAACAAGAAGAGUCAAGGCUGAGUGGAUUUAGGGCCACGGCGACUGAAAAGACAGAAUUAAUGAAAGUGGCAAGAUCUCGGGGGGAAGCAUGUCUUUUAGGGAGGACCAGAAAGAAGCUUGGUUGCAGGUGCCAGUUAGACACCCACUUGAAGGUGAUGCAUGAAUCUGGGGUUCAGGGUUCAGGGCUGAGCAUUCCUCCUGCUCUGGGCUGUGGCUUCAUCAGCUCGCAGCUUGGUUGGGAGGGGCCUGUGGUUUUCAAGGACGCUUCUGGGGGCCAGUACAACUCAAGGAGGUAGGAUUCUGUGCCCUCACACCUAGGCCGAAGGAAAGUUUGCCAGUCACAAAACUAGCUGAGCCCCUGGGCUCCCUGCAGCACACACACUCUACACACACUCUAUGCACGCUCCACUGUGCCCCUAGAAAACCCGUGGGUUCUUUGUUCCUAGACUUGAGUGCCCCAUCCCCAGUCCUGGGAGCAGAGGCCGGGCCUGGGUGUCGUGGGGGAGGGCUCGGCGGUGCCCCCUGGUGGCAUGCUUGGGCAUGGGACUGACAUCCCCUCGCUUCUUCCCCCCAGCGCGACUGUCAAAACUACAUCAAGAUCCUCCUGCCGCUCAGCGGCAGUCACCUGUUCACCUGUGGCACAGCAGCCUUCAGCCCCAUGUGUACCUACAUCAACGUGGAGAACUUCACCCUGGCAAGGGACGAGAAGGGGAAUGUCCUCCUAGAAGAUGGCAAGGGCCGUUGUCCCUUCGACCCGAAUUUCAAGUCCACGGCCCUGGUGGUUGAUGGCGAGCUCUACACUGGAACAGUCAGCAGCUUCCAAGGGAAUGACCCGGCCAUCUCCCGGAGCCAAAGCCUUCGCCCCACCAAGACCGAGAGCUCCCUCAACUGGCUGCAAGACCCAGCUUUUGUGGCCUCAGCCUACAUUCCUGAAAGCCUGGGCAGCUUGCAAGGCGAUGAUGACAAGAUCUACUUUUUCUUCAGCGAGACUGGCCAGGAAUUUGAGUUCUUUGAGAACACCAUUGUGUCCCGCGUUGCCCGCAUCUGCAAGGGCGAUGAGGGUGGAGAGCGAGUGCUGCAGCAGCGCUGGACCUCAUUCCUCAAGGCCCAGCUGCUGUGCUCACGGCCCGACGACGGCUUCCCCUUCAACGUGCUGCAGGACGUCUUCACGCUGAGCCCCAGCCCCCAGGACUGGCGUGACACCCUUUUCUAUGGGGUCUUCACUUCUCAGUGGCACAGGGGAACUACAGAAGGCUCUGCCGUCUGUGUCUUCACCAUGAAGGACGUGCAGAGGGUCUUCAAUGGCCUCUACAAGGAGGUGAACCGUGAGACGCAGCAGUGGUACACCGUGACCCACCCGGUGCCCAUACCCCGGCCUGGAGCGUGCAUCACCAACAGUGCCCGGGAAAGGAAGAUCAACUCAUCCCUGCAGCUCCCAGAUCGCGUGCUGAACUUCCUCAAGGACCACUUCCUGAUGGAUGGGCAGGUCCGAAGCCGCAUGCUGCUGCUGCAGCCCCAGGCUCGCUACCAGCGCGUGGCUGUACACCGCGUCCCUGGCCUGCACCACACCUACGAUGUCCUCUUCCUGGGCACUGGUGACGGCCGGCUUCACAAGGCAGUGAGCGUGGGCCCCCGGGUGCACAUCAUUGAGGAGCUGCAGAUCUUCUCAUCGGGACAGCCUGUGCAGAAUCUGCUCCUGGACACCCACAGGGGACUGCUGUAUGCGGCCUCCCACUCGGGCGUAGUCCAGGUGCCCAUGGCCAACUGCAGCCUGUACCGGAGCUGUGGGGACUGCCUCCUCGCCCGGGACCCCUACUGUGCUUGGAGCGGCUCCAGCUGCAAGCACGUCAGCCUCUACCAGCCUGAGCUGGCCGCCAGGCCGUGGAUCCAGGACAUCGAGGGAGCCAGUGCCAAGGACCUUUGCAGCGCGUCUUCGGUUGUGUCCCUGUCUUUUGUACCAACAGGUGAGAAGCCAUGUGAGCAAGUCCAGUUCCAGCCCAACACAGUGAACACUUUGGCCUGCCCACUCCUCUCCAACCUGGCGACCCGACUCUGGCUGCACAACGGGGCCCCUGUCAAUGCCUCGGCCUCCUGCCACGUGCUACCCACUGGGGACCUGCUGCUGGUGGGCACCCAACAGCUGGGGGAGUUCCAGUGCUGGUCACUAGAGGAGGGCUUCCAGCAGCUGGUAGCCAGCUACUGCCCAGAGGUGGUGGAGGAUGGGGUGGCAGACCAAACAGAUCAGGGUGGCAAUGUACCCGUCAUUAUCAGCACAUCGCGUGUGAGUGCACCAGCUGGUGGCAGGGCCAGCUGGGGUGCAGACAAGUCCUACUGGAAGGAGUUCCUGGUGAUGUGCACGCUCUUUGUGCUAGCCGUGCUGUUCCCAGUUUUAUUCUUGCUCUACCGGCACCGGAACAGCAUGAAAGUCUUCCUGAAGCAGGGGGAAUGUGCCAGCGUGCACCCCAAGACCUGCCCUGUGGUGCUGCCCCCCGAGACCCGCCCACUCAACGGCCUAGGCCCCCCUAGCACUCCACUUGAUCACCGAGGGUACCAGGCCCUGUCAGACAGCCCCCCGGGGGCCCGAGUCUUCACUGAGUCAGAGAAGAGGCCACUCAGCAUCCAAGACAGCUUCGUGGAGGUAUCCCCAGUGUGCCCCCGGCCCCGGGUCCGCCUUGGCUCGGAGAUCCGUGACUCUGUGGUGUGAGAGCUGACUUCCAGAGGACGCUGCCCUGGCUUCAGGGGCUGUGAAUGCUCGGAGAGGGUCAACUGGACCUCCCCUCCGCUCUGCUCUUCGUGGAACACAACGUGGUGCCCAGCCCUUGGGAGCCUUGGAGCCAGCUGGCCUGCUGCUCUCCAGUCAAGUAGCGAGGCUCCUACCACCCAGACACCCAAACAGCCAUGGCCCCAGAGGUCCUGGCCAAAUAUGGGGGCCUGCCUAGGUUGGUGGAACAGUGCUCCUUAUGUAAACUGAGCCCUUUGUUUAAAAAACAAUUCAAAAUGUGAAACUAGAGUGAGAGGGAAGAGAUAGCAUGGAAUGCAGCACACACGGCUGCUCCAGUUCAUGGCCUCCCAGGGGUACUGGGGAUGCAUCCAAAGUGGUUGAGACAGAGUUGGAAACCCUCACCAACUGGCCUCUUCACCUUCCACCUUAUCCCGCUGCCACCAGCUGCCCUGUCUCACUGCAGAUUCAGGACCAGCUUGGGCUCCGUGCGUUCUGCCUUGCCAGCCAGCCGAGGAUGUAGUUGUUGCUGCCAUCAUCCCACCACCUCAGGGACCAGAGGGCUAGGUUGGCACUGCGGCCCUCACCAGGUCCUGGGCUCGGACCCAACUCCUGGACCUUUCCGGCCUGUAUCAGGCUGUGGCCACACAAGAGGACAGCGUGAGCUCAGGAGAGAUUUAGUGACAAUGUACGCCUUUCCCUCAGAAUUCAAGGAAGAGACUGUUGCCUGCCUUCCUCCAUUGUUGCGUGAGAACCCGUGUGUCCCUUCCUGCCAUAUCCACCCUCGCUCCAUCUUUGAACUCAAACACGAGGAACUAACUGUACCCUGGUCCUCUCCCCAGUCCCCAAUUCACCCUCCAUCCCUCACCUUCCUCCACUCUAAGGGAUAGCAACACUGCCCAGCACAGGGGCCCUGAAUUUAUGUGGUUUUUAUAUAUUUUUUAAUAAGAUGCACUUUAUGUCAUUUUUUAAUAAAGUCUGAAGAAUUAUUGUUUAAUCCUGGCUCUUCCUCUUCA
rnacentral:sRNA from 1 species